rnacentral:rRNA from 1 species
GACAGAGGAUGCAAGCGGUUAUCCGGAAUGAUUGGGCGUAAAGCGUCUGUAGGUGGCGUUUUUAAGUCCGCCGUCAAAUCCCAGGGCUCGAACCCUGGAACAGGCGGUGGAAACUACCAAGCUGGAGUACGGUAGGGGCAGAGGGAAUUUCCGGUGGAGCGGUGAAAUGCGUAGAGAUCGGAAAGAACACCAACGGCGAAAGCAACUCUGCUGGGCCGACACUGACACUGAGAGACGAAAGCUAGGGGAGCGAAUGGG